rnacentral:rRNA from 1 species
AUACGGAGGAUGCAAGCGUUAUCCGGAUUUAUUGGGUUUAAAGGGUGCGCAGGCGGCCAUUUAAGUCAGCGGUUAAAUCGUGGGGCUCAACCCCAUUCUGCCGUUGAUACUGGGUGGCUUGAUUGCGGUCGAGGUUGGCGGAAUUCGUUGUGUAGCGGCGAAAUGCAUAGAUAUGACGAAGAACACCGAUUGCGUAGGCAGCUGACCAGACCGCAAAUGACGCUCAUGCACGAAAGUGCGGGGAUCGAACAGGAUUAGAUACCCUGGUAGUCCGCACAGUAAACGAUGAAUACUUGUUUUCGGCGAUAUAAUGUCGGAGGCAAAGCGAAAGCGAUAAGUAUUCCACCUGGGGAGUACGCCGGCAACGGUGAAACUCAAAUGAAUUGGCGGGG